rnacentral:misc_RNA from 1 species
AAAAAAUCCAGAAAAGACAAGUGAAGGAAGCAGCAAGUAGAAACAGCAAUUGGAAACCCUAGAGAAGCUUGUUGACACCUCUGACUGUCUUGUGAGAGAAGGCAAAGAGAGCUAGAGAAAACUCGAAUCUUCAAUCCAUUCCAUUGUCACGAUCAAUCUUCUUCAGGGUAUAUAUCUAUCUGGUGGUGUCUGUCUUUUCUGAAAAUGGCAGAUGGUCAUGAAUCAGAUAAGAAUAUUGAAAUAUGGAAAAUCAAAAAGUUGAUUAAGGCAUUGGAGUCAGCGAGGGGUAAUGGUACGAGCAUGAUAUCUCUUAUAAUGCCUCCUCGUGAUCAAAUAUCUCGGGUCACAAAGAUGCUGGGUGAUGAAUUUGGAACUGCUUCAAACAUUAAAAGUAGGGUCAACCGUCAGUCUGUCUUGGCUGCCAUUACAUCUGCUCAACAGAGGCUCAAGCUUUAUAACAAGGUUCCUCCCAAUGGGCUGGUGCUUUAUACAGGAACUGUUGUUACUGAAGAUGGGAAGGAAAAGAAGGUGACAAUUGAUUUUGAGCCUUUCAAGCCUAUAAAUGCUUCACUUUACCUUUGUGACAACAAGUUCCACACAGAAGCACUUAACGAACUCUUAGAAUCUGAUGACAAGUUUGGCUUUAUUGUCAUGGAUGGGAAUGGCACCCUGUUUGGGACUCUAAGCGGUAACACACGAGAAGUGCUUCAUAAAUUUACAGUUGAUUUACCAAAGAAGCAUGGAAGAGGAGGGCAGUCCGCUCUUCGUUUUGCUCGCCUUCGGAUGGAAAAGCGGCACAACUAUGUUAGAAAAACUGCAGAGCUUGCCACACAGUUUUUCAUUAAUCCUGCUACCAGUCAGCCAAAUGUUUCUGGGCUGAUACUGGCAGGUUCAGCAGACUUCAAGACUGAGUUGAGCCAGUCAGAUAUGUUUGAUCCUCGUUUGCAAGCAAAGAUAUUGAAUGUGGUUGAUGUUUCUUAUGGGGGAGAGAAUGGUUUCAACCAAGCUAUUGAGCUGUCAGCUGAGAUUCUAUCAAAUGUAAAGUUCAUACAGGAAAAACGCUUGAUUGGGAAAUACUUCGAGGAGAUCAGCCAGGAUACUGGAAAGUAUGUCUUCGGUGUUGAUGACACAUUGAAGACUCUGGAAAUGGGUGCUGUUGAAACCCUUAUUGUGUGGGAAAAUCUAGAUAUUAAUCGAUAUGUUUUUAAAAACAGUGUUACUGGUGAAAUAAUUAUAAAGCACUUGAACAAGGAGCAAGAGGCUGAUCAGAGUAACUUCAGGGAUGCAGCCAACUCUGCAGAGUUGGAGGUUCAGGAAAAGAUGCCUUUACUUGAGUGGUUUGCGAAUGAAUACAAGCGAUUUGGUUGCUCACUUGAAUUCGUUACUAACAAAUCGCAAGAGGGAUCACAGUUUUGCAGAGGGUUUGGUGGAAUUGGGGGUAUUCUUCGCUACCAGCUUGACAUUAGAUCUUUUGAUGAGUUGUCUGAUGAUGGUGAAGUUUAUGAGGAUUCGGACUAGGAGAUCAUAAUGAUGUGAAAGCUUACAUCAGUGUGAUGGAUCUUUGUUACUGAUAUUGCUCAACACUUGAUACAAAUAAUUUUCUUAUUUUGCUGCUUUUGAUUUGGAUGUUGGGAAUGUUUCAAUGAUUCCCAUUUUCUUUUAUCAACUCCUGUUUUAUUUUUCUUCACCCUCUAGCGAUUUGGAUUUUGUGCAAAUAUGCCAAACUAUAAUGGUUUUUCUGUGCGAACUCAUACAAUAGAACAGAGAAAUUGGAUUUGCUUGGGGAAAUGUAAAGGUUGGUCCAAAAUUAUUUUUGAAUCUUGCCAUCUUGGGUAUUGAGGACUUUUGGAUAUUUGAUGGGAUGGUGAGAAUAGUAAAUGAUUUUCUUAUCUCUACCCCAUGAAGUUAUG